UAAUACUCCUGAGAAAAUAAAUUCUCGUCAAUCAAUCGUUCGGUUAAUACUCAAGGGGAACCUUAAUUUUCACCCUUUGCUUGCACGCAUGUACGAAUUUGCAAGGACAAUAACGCGUUUUUAUGACUCUUGUGUAAAACACUGAACCACAUUCGUUCCUUAAUCAAAGCCAAUCCAUUCGGAAAAGAGGGUCAUAAAUCGUCGGCAAUAAAUUUUAGCGAAAUAAUUGAUGUUAAAUGUGAACUGCAUGCUGGUCAGAAGAGUGCUAAAUUUUCACUGUGCUUUGAGGCCAACAUCUAUCACAGCAUCUCUUUGUAACGCAGAAGAAUAAGGAAAGCUACCGAUUUGCAAAACCAUCAACAUGGUGGGACUUUUUCAUUGGGGUUUGUCGAUGACUGGACCACGCUGCAGAGGUCUCGGAAAUUUCCAUUCGGUGGAGAAGUUACAUUAGAUUGAGAAACGAGGGUCUGAAAAUAAGCGGUGGAAAGAAGCGUGCGGCUCGUGAGAGGUCGAAAAAAGUGGAAAAUUGACCUUUAUCAUUGUUUCGUUAUCGAGAAAUUUUAAAUAACGACAACUGAGGUGCGUCAAGUGACAACCUUCGGCGAUAGGACAAGAUUUGUUUUCCCAGUUCAUUUCGUGGUUGACAAUUGCCAAUUUGAGGCCCGUCGGAUCUCUUCCAAUUGCCAAACAGAAUAGAAUCACCUGCAUCACCGGUAGCGCGAAGAUGAAAAGCAUGACGCUGAAAAAAAUGAUUACAGUUUAAUUUCAAACAUCGUUACUUUAUCUCACGGUUCAAUCGAACAAAGCAAUUAUCUUCAGUCUUUAAAUUCUUCUUUCAUGUACCCGACGUUUCUCCACAUACGAAGAAAGUUUUUCUGCAACAGUGCUUUGAUCUUCCCAACACUCGUCAGAUUGUAGAUGCAAUCGGCGAAGUUACAAUCGUCGCAUUCCACGGUCGUGUCACCUUUCGUGCCAGGCAGUGGUUUACCAUUCAACUGAAAAUAUUCAAUCGUUAUUUUUUCAUCAUUAUUCCAAAUGACGGUAACACAUUUGUGCUACGAAGCAACGAAGCUAAAUUGGGAGUCGUUUGUUCGAAAAAUGAAGAAUUCUUCUCACGUCGUAAUGGCUGCCAACUCCAUUGGUCGUAUCAUGGAUGAGGACUUCUUUGCUCUGAUGGAAAUUGAGUCCGACCACGCCAGAUUCCUCGGUAACGUAAACAGGUUCGUCCUUCUUGCCCCAAUUCAAGGAAGCCUGAACAAACGGAGUAAAAAAGUAUUCAAAUUUUUCGACGUCCUCGCGAUGACCGGUCGGUCCUUUAUUUUUGUAAAAUAUCUCACCAAACUUAUGUUGUUGGAGAUGUUCAAUUCCGUGGUCGGCUGAUUGUACUGGCCCUGUUUUCUCGAAAGUUUCAGAAAAACGUCUUCCAACGAUGGACAAUUGUACAUCGUCAGAAGAGCCCGUGGCGAUUCCUCGGCCAAUAAUCUGCCGCUUCUCAUCAAGCCGAUCUUUGAAAAUCAAAUGAAACCAUCAUUACGGAAAGGAAACACCGAAAUGAGGAUCAGUUUUAAUGAAAAACUGUCGAAAUGAAAGCUAAUCGAAUCACACUGAGAAAAAAAUUCAUUGUCUCCGAAAAUAUUGCAGUUAAAUGAAGAAGAUUCUUCCAAUAACAUCAUUUGCCAUUGGAUCAACAAUUUUUUUUCUCAGUCCAGAUAUCCGGAGCGCAAAACACCGUUUGACAAGUGAAUUGCACUUUUUUUCGACUUCAAUAAUUGUGAAACUCAGCUCUUCUUCAAUAUUGAAGUUUGUACGGUUCAACUAGUCGGAGAUUUUACGAUCUACUAAAAAAGUUAUCUUCGAAUAAACCGAUUGUACUGAGAGUAACGAGCUUGGAAAGUGUUCCAAUGGAAUGAUCAUUUUUUCGACACUGAAACAUUUUUACUGGAAAAUGGAUUUCUUUUUUUAAUUCAAUGUAAAUUGAGCCGAGAUAAUUUGGCAUGUGAUGGCAUUUCGGAAGCGAGCAUGCUGCAUGCACUUCAAAGUUCAGCUACAAAGUGGCAUGCAAAUUGUUUAAAUAUUCAUUCGACUUCUUGUGAAUAAACCGAACUCUCGCUCGACUGUGACAAAAAGAAGAUAAGGAAGGACGACAAUGUCUGAAGUAAGGAAAAGUGGUUGAUAUGCGACAUUUUUUUUUUCCAGUGUCUCAACGUUCCGCACGAUGAAAAUAAAUAAAGCGAAAGAAUCCAUCCAAGUGCACGUCGGCGGGUGCAUUUGUGCGGGGGAAUAAAAGGAGCUCGAUUGUCGCGAAGAGUUGCUUUAAUUGUCGAUUGUAUUCGAUGCGCAUCUCAUAAAGACCUCGACCCUUCCAGAGACUCGAUUCGUCGUACGUAAAAAAGCGAAUUGAGCGCGAGUCUCAUUUUACUUUCCAAGGAUCUCAGUACAGUCGGCUGUGGAGUGUAAACAGUCGCCAAGAAAAAUCAAGAAUGUCUCGGAACUCACGGUGUGCGCUUG